GCCCAGGUGGCGUAACCGGCAGCCGCUGGAGACUUAAACUCUCCUGGCCCGCCAGGGCCGUGUGGGUUCGACUCCCACCCUGGGCACCA
rnacentral:tRNA from 1 species